rfam:Bombyx mori DNA, contig: Bm_scaf20_contig14521, strain: p50T/Dazao, build 2, whole genome shotgun sequence.
UUAACUCAAAUUUGUAUGGAGCUAGAACGGUUGCCUACGUGUGCGGGGCGCUGUUCCAACUAUAUACAAACUUGCGUUA